rnacentral:RNase_P_RNA from 1 species
CGAGUCGGCCGGGUGAUCGCGGCGAGAGCUGAGGAAAGUCCGGACUCCACAGGGCAGGGUGGUGGGUAACGCCCACCCGGGGUGACCCGCGGGAAAGUGCCACAGAGAACAGACCGCCGCCGGCGACGGCGGUAAGGGUGAAACGGCGGUGUAAGAGACCACCAGCA